GGCAAAAGCUCAAUUUGAAAUCUGGCGUCUUUGGCGUCCGAGUUGUAAUUUGAAGAAGGUAUCUUUGGGCCCGGCUCUUGUCUAUGUUCCUUGGAACAGGACGUCACAGAGGGUGAGAAUCCCGUGCGAUGAGAUGACCCGGGUCUGUGUAAAGUUCCUUCGACGAGUCGAGUUGUUUGGGAAUGCAGCUCUAAGUGGGUGGUAAAUUCCAUCUAAAGCUAAAUAUUGGCGAGAGACCGAUAGCGAACAAGUACAGUGAUGGAAAGAUGAAAAGAACUUUGAAAAGAGAGUGAAAAAGUACGUGAAAUUGUUGAAAGGGAAGGGCUUGAGAUCAGACUUGGUAUUUUGCAUGCUGCUCUCUCGGGGGCGGCCGCUGCGGUUUACCGGGCCAGCAUCGGUUUGGAGCGGCAGGAUAAUGGCGGAGGAAUGUGGCACGGCUUCUGCUGUGUGUUAUAGCCUCUGACGAUACUGCCAGCCUAACCGAGGACUGCGGUUUUUACCUAGGAUGUUGGCAUAAUGAUCUUAAGUCGCCCGUCUUGAAACACGGACCAAGGAGUCUAACGUCUAUGCGAGUGUUUGGGUGUAAAACCCGUACGCGUAAUGAAAGUGAACGAAGGUGGGGGCCCAUUAGGUGCACCAUCGACCGAUCCUGAUGUGUUCGGAUGGAUUUGAGUAAGAGCAUAGCUGUUGGGACCCGAAAG
rnacentral:rRNA from 1 species